rnacentral:rRNA from 1 species
GAAUGGGCAACGGUAGGUCAGUAUGCCCCGAAUGUCCCGGGCUACACGCGGGCUACAAUGGUUGGUACAAUGGGUAUCUACCCCGAAAGGGGAUGGAAAUCUCCUAAAGCCAAUCUUAGUUCGGAUCGAGGGCUGCAACUCGCCCUCGUGAAGCUGGAAUCCGUAGUAAUCGCGUUUCAAUAGAACGCGGUGAAUACGUCCCUGCUCCUUGCA